UACGGGAGGCAGCGGUGGGGAAUAUUGGGCAAUGGGGGAAACCCUGACCCAGCAACGCCGCGUGAGGGAAGAAGGUUUUCGGAUCGUAAACCUCUGUCCUUGGUGAAGAGGAAGAGACGGUAGCCAAGGAGGAAGCCCCGGCUAACUACGUGCCAGCAGCCGCGGUAAU
rnacentral:rRNA from 1 species